UCAUGUGUUCAAUUUAAUACGGCAUGGAGUAUGACGUCACAUUCUUCAUGGCCUUCACCUUGAUAUCAGCAAAACAUCGUGUACAUGAGAAACUGAAACAC